rnacentral:rRNA from 1 species
UGCAGUCGCACGAGAAAGUGGAGCAAUCCAUGAGUACAGUGGCGUACGGGUGAGUAACACGUGGAUCAUCUACCUUCUAGUGGGGAAUACCUCCGGGAAACUGGAGACAAUACCGCAUAAGCUCGUAAGAGGAAAGCAGCAAUGCGCUGGAAGAGGAGUCCGCGGCUGAUUAGCUAGUUGGCGGGGUAAUGGCCCACCAAGGCGAAGAUCGGUAGCCGGCCUGAGAGGGCACACGGCCACACUGGCGCUGAAAUACGGGCCAGACUCCUACGGGAGGCAGCAGUGGGGAAUCUUGCACAAUGGAGGAAACUCUGAUGCAGCGACGCCGCGUGAGCGAUGAAGCCCUUCGGGGUGUAAAGCUCUUUCGACGGGAACGAUAAUGACGGUACCCGAAGAAGAAGCUGCGGCUAACUACGUGCCAGCAGCCGCGGUAAUACGUAGGCAGCAAGCGUUGUUCGGAAUUACUGGGCGUAAAGAGUGUGUAGGCGGUGUUCUAAGUCUGUUGUGAAAUCUCCCGGCUUAACUGGGAGGGUGCGGCGGAAACUGGAAUGCUAGAGGAUGGGAGAGGUAAGCGGAAUUCCUGGUGUAGCGGUGAAAUGCGUAGAUAUCAGGAGGAACACCUGUGGUGUAGACAGCUUACUGGACCAUUUCUGACGCCGAGACACGAAAGCGUGGGUAGCAAACAGGAUUAGAUACCCUGGUAGUCCACGCCCUA